GAAAGAAACGAAAGAAAUUACUUCCGUGCUUUCAGUUGUAAUAGACAAUAGUUUGGUGGGGUUUUAAACUCCAUUACGAGUGUUUUUUUUUGUAACACCGAUAGCAGCUAUUCUGUUGUGAGGCCGAUACGUCAUCCUGAUAAGGGGUCAAUAAAAAACAUUCACAAAAAAUGAGAUCUUUAGAUAGAUUAAAACCCUUGGUGAAUGUCGUCUAGAGGUGUAAACUGGGGAAAUGUGGUUAAUUUACUAUCGCUUCCUACAAUUUUACUUGUUUAUAGAAAUAAACUUUACGAUUAGACAAAUAAAGUAUUUUUACAACUACAAAUACGGUCAGUUAUACCUAUGUAAUUAUGCGGAUAUAUUACGAUAAUUUACAAGUACAAGAUAAUUUUACAGUGUGUUUUUUAAAAACAUUUGAAAAUAAAGUAUCUAAUAAGAAUGAGGAAAUUCAAUUUGAAAUUGGAAAAUUUUGAAUAAGGAAAUUACAUAAGUAAAUCUGCAUAACAAAUUUUCAUUUUUAAAUAUUUAUAACCAGUGUAAACCUUAGUUUCAUUGUAAAUAUCUGGUAGAAUACCAGAAUACGUAUGAAAUAAUAAAACUUUUUAAUACGUAGUAUAAACCUACAUAUAUAUACCUUCAUAUUAAAUAUUUCUCCUAUUUCUGUUUAAUAAACAUUUUUGACAAAAGAAAAUACUAAAACUCUAGAUUUCACAUAAAAAAUGUGUUUCGAGAGACUACAACUAAAGAUGACAAACGAGUUUCAGGUUUUAUACGAAGUUUUGGGUUUUAGUAUUUUAUUUCAGUUCAAUUUCACAGAACUUUUAAAUACGAAGUAAAGGAUAAACUUUAUAAAAAGCUUUUAAAAGUGCAAGGUAAAUUUUACUGUUUAAAUGUUUAAUUAUCUUAAAGUAGGAAAUAUUAUUAACUGAUACGAUACAAAAUUGAAAUUAAACAAAUACAUAGAAUAAUUAAAUAUCAAAUUCAUAAUUCAAAGUGUUCAUUAAAGAAUAAAUUAUUCAUAUACAAAUGUACACUACAGACUUGUUUACUCUUAUUACAAAUAAUUCUUCUGAUUUAUCAUAAUUCUACUUGUUUUUAUCUCUUAGCACGUGUAUGUAUUUUUAAACAUAUCCAUCGUAUGAUACUGUAUUGUUUUUUUUAAGUACUGUAUUGUUUUUUUUCUUUUAUGUACAAAGAAAGAUUACAGUAAACUUAUGCGAUACAAAAGUUUAUUGACUGGCAUAAAUUAAAAAGAAUACUUUCUUAUUCGUUACAUAUUAUCAAUUUUCUUUAAUAGAUUCUAAAAAUAACUGAGUAAAAUAUAUGUACACUAUGCUUAUAAUACAUGUAUUAGAUAUUUUACAUAAGUCCAUAUAUGAUAUUUAAAAUUCCAUUCCUGUGAUGGGAGCAUUUUGAAAGCAUGCAAUCGAUUCACUUUUUUUCUUAAUAAUUGUGAUUGUGAUAUUGAAUUAGGGAUUAUCUAUUUGGUUUUAAUUAGAUAUUUCGAUGUAUAGGAAGGUUGGGUGGUUUGGUGAAAUACUUCUAUUAUUAUUAUUUUUAAUUUAGAUAAAAAAGGGCAUUAUUCAGUAAGUAAAAAUAUAGUGAAUAAAACUCUUCCCUUUACAAAUAAUUCUCGGGAACUUCUAGUUCAUUAAAAUCCAUUUUAAAAUAAUACAUGUCUCAAAAACAACUUGUUUAUAUUACGGAAAUUUUUAAUAAUAGGGGGCCCUUGAUAAAUAGAUAAGAGAAGCGUGUAAAAUAUUGUAAUUACAAGUGCCAGCACACAGCACUGUAAAAUUGUAUGUAAUCGUGACACGUAAUUUUUAUCGAUACCGCUUAAUUUACAACCUACGCCCACAAUAAAGAGAAAAACAUGUUUUUAAUUAAAUUUUAGUUAUGUAAUUUCUUAGAAAACUAGGGUUUUUUCUAAUUUCCAACCCAAAACCCUGACUUUUAAUUUAUUCGGAGAUUUAAUAAUUUUGUGGUGAAUAAACAAUAAUUAAUUUUUAGAUGUAAACAAAUGUAAGAAUGAUUUAAUGUUGAUACAAAAUAUUGGUUUCUCGUAGAAAUACGUUCAUGUGUGUACUUUUGUUUUAAACGUAAAAGAUUCUUAAGUUCUGUUUCGAUUGAUGAAUUGCAUAUAAAAACGUCAGCGAUCCCCUAAUUGGGAAAUACAAAAUAAGGAUUUCGCGAAACAUGUCUCGAAUAAAAAACAACAGUCAAAGCUAAUUUUAAAUAUAAUAUACACCAUUGCAUGCCACAGUUCCGCAGUAUUGAACUCAACAAAAAUUCAUAUUACUGCAUUACUAGUAAGUUAAAUGAUAUCAUUACCUAAUUAUGCGACAAAAACCAAACCGAAGUUGUGGUAUCGUUUGGGAAUUACAUUACACAACUCGCAGUUUAAGUUGUGAUUUUUUGAUAUCUGAAGUAUUACUUACACACCCAAAUUUUUGUACAAUAAGAAUCUGAUCAUAAGCUUAUUAUUUAACAUUUAUUAAUUGGUUAGAUUAACUAAUCAUCGUUUUAAGUUUAAUUUCGAAAUAAUUCUGCAUUCUGGAAUUAAUAUCAAUUUACUAAACCGGACCUGUAACCAUUUUUAAUUGUAGGUAAGCAGAUAUGUAUGCAAGUAAUCAAAAUCAGUAUUUUUUAAGUAAAAAGAAAAUCUUGUUAAGCCAUAUUGUUUAUUAUUGAGUAUGAUAAAUGAUCACGAUUCAUAAAUAU